rnacentral:rRNA from 1 species
GAUGAACGCUGGCGGCGUGCCUAAUACAUGCAAGUCGAACGAAGCUGUUUUAACUGGUGCUUGCACCGACUUAAACAACUGAGUGGCGAACGGGUGAGUAACACGUGGGUAACCUGCCCCAAAGCGGGGGAUAACAUUUGGAAACAGAUGCUAAUACCGCAUAACCACAGAAACCACAUGGUUUCUGUGUCAAAGAUGGUUUCGGCUAUCACUUUGGGAUGGACCCGCGGCGUAUUAGCUAGUUGGUAAGGUAAUGGCUUACCAAGGCCAUGAUACGUAGCCGAACUGAGAGGUUGAUCGGCCACAUUGGGACUGAGACACGGCCCAAACUACUACGGGAGGCAGCAGUAGGGAAUCUUCCACAAUGGACGAAAGUCUGAUGGAGCAACGCCGCGUGAGUGAAGAAGGUUUUCGGAUCGUAAAACUCUGUUGUCAGAGAAGAACGUGUGCGAGAGUAACUGUUCGUGCAGUGACGGUAUCUGGCCAGAAAGCCACGGCUAACUACGUGCCAGCCGCCGCCGUAA